CCGUGUCGUAACCCGCAAGGGCAGCGGCCGAACGCGAGCAUCAUGACUGGGNG
rnacentral:rRNA from 1 species